UUCUUUUUUUUUUUUUUAACAUUUUACAGAAUUUAAUUAAGCACAUAAAACUGUACUAUUUAAUAUAUUUCUCCAUGAACUUUUUGUGAAAUUCAGAUCGCAGUGUAUCAUUUACAAAUCUUUUGUCUUUCUUCUGAUCAUCUACACCUUUUGCACAAUUCUUGAAGACAACAUCAUCAUUCCACCUUUUGACUGUGAAGCUGGCCUGCGGCUGGGAUGGGCCAGUGAGAUUAAGGAGAGGAUUUCCACUAAAAAUGUUUUCUAUACGAAUCCUUUCUUCUUCACCUUUUUGUUCCUGUUCCUUCCUGGCCUGCUCUUCAGCUCUUUCCUUUUUAAUUUUUUCCAGUUCUUCAAGAAGAGCUGCAGUAUCAUUGUCAUCACUCUCCUCCUCAAAAUCUUCAUCUUCCUCAUCUGUUAGAGGAUCAUCUGCAUCAAGGUUGGCAGCAGGAAUCUGGUCUAACUGAGACUUCUUUGACACUGAGGAGGAGGUUGUGUGUUCUCAGGCAGUGGAACCACUGAGCUAAAUCCCUGGCCCUGAAAUAGCACUAAUGUUUACCUCCUCAGUAAGGGCCACACUCCCAGCUGUCAUCUCCAGGGCCACAGAAGUCAAAGAUUCCCAAGACUUGCCCUUCUCCACUCACACAGCUCUCUACGAUCCGGGUCGUGGGACAGUCUCUAGAGAAUACGUUCAAG
rnacentral:lncRNA from 1 species